rnacentral:rRNA from 1 species
AUUGAACGCUGGCGGCAGGCCUAACACAUGCAAGUCGAGCGAGCGGCGGACGGGUGCGUACUGUCUGGGAAACUGCCUGAUGGAGGGGGAUAACUACUGGAAACGGUAGCUAAUACCGCAUACCAUCAGAUGUGCCCCGGUGGGAUUAGCUAGUCGGUGGGGUAACGGCUAACCUAGGCGACGAUCCCUAGAUGGUCUGAGAGGAUGACCAGCCACACUGGCACUGAGCCACGGUCCAGGAUCCUACGGGAGGCAGCAGUGGGGAAUAUUGCACAAGGGGCGCAAGCCUGACGCAGCAAGGCCGCGUGUGUGAAGAAGGCCUUCGGGUUGUAAAGCACUUUCAGCGGGGAGGCGUUACCCGCAGAAGAAGCAACGGCUAACUCCGUGCCAGCAGCCGCGGUAAUGC